CAGGUAGGGUUUUCUAAUUCGACAUUCUCCUCAUUUCGCCUCCAUAUAUCCUCUGAGAGAGUUUAUCAACUAAGUCGUCUGUCUUCUUCAUCCGAGGAUCAUCAGUUCCCCUUUUGGGUAGUGGUUUAUUAAUGAGCAAAGAAUCAACUCACAAAGGAGGCGUAUGAACUUUCUCUCAGAUUUCCUCUACCAACUUCAUCUAUGUUGCACUUCAUCCAUCCUUGCUCUAGUAAUUUCAUUCAUCCUUACUCUGGUGUCUGGAGCCAUAUUGGAGUUCCGAUUAAAUUCAGAUCGCGUACUGUUGGGUCAUUUGAGGGUGGCGCUCCUAACAUAAUUUUCUCCAUACCUAGAGCUCGAACUCAAAGCCUCUGAUUAAAGGUUGUAUAAACAAGUCAUUAAGCUAAUGGCUCUAAUAUUUGUUUUAAUUCACCUAAUUCUUUCUUUGGGUGCAUUUAAAUUGAGGUGAGAUUAGUUUAUAAAAAAUCAAAAAGGAAAAAAUAAAA